AUUGAACGCUGGCGGCAUGCCUUACACAUGCAAGUCGAACGGUAACAGGUCUUCGGAUGCUGACGAGUGGCGCACGGGUGAGUAAUACAUCGGAACGUGCCCGAUCGUGGGGGAUAACGCAGCGAAAGCUGUGCUAAUACAGCAUACGAUCUACGGAUGACAGCGGGGGAUCGCAAGACCUCGCGCGGCCGGAGCGGACGAUGGCAGAUUAGGUAGUUGGUGGGAUAAAAGCUUACCAAGCCGACGAUCUGUAGCUGGUCUGAGAGGACGACCAGCCACACUGGGACUGAGACACGGCCCAGACUCCUACGGGAGGCAGCAGUGGGGAAUUUUGGACAAUGGGCGCAAGCCUGAUCCAGCCAUGCCGCGUGCAGGAUGAAGGCCUUCGGGUUGUAAACUGCUUUUGUACGGAAAGAAAAAGCUCUCUCUAAUACAGGGGGUGAAUGACGGUACCGUAAGAAUAAGCACCGGCUAACUACGUG
rnacentral:rRNA from 1 species